GCCGGGCGCGCAUCCGGCACCUGUCGGCUCCCCGGGCUGCCUGGCCGGCAGCCUGUGAGCGGGGCUGCUGGGCUGGGCCCCUGCCGACGUGUCCCGGCGGCGUGUGAGCCCCUCUGGUCCUUGGUUUCCCGGCGUGAGGAUCGGGGACAGCGGUUUCUGGUCCUUGCCCCGGGGGAUCCGCAGCGUCCCCAUCGUACAGCCGAGGAGGCUGAGCCCCGGAACGAUGACCUUGGCGUGCAAAGGCCUGCUUUCCCGCUAGGGUAUCCGGUCGGGCGGAGGCACGGUCCACUGCACUGGCCUGGAGCGCUAGCGCCGCUUCUGCUGGAUCGGGGUGUGUCCAAGCGCCGCCGUCCCGGGGAAGGACCCCGAGAGCGGGUCGGGCUGGUAGCGCGUGGGUUCUUGAUUUCCUGCAGGAAUAUUUCACCGCGUGAGUCCUGGUGACUCAGAGUCCGUUCAUUGCAGCCGGGGGCAGUGCCACAGGGACGGGCUUGGGGGAGAAGGAGCAGCGGGAGAGACGGGCGGGGCCGCUUUGGCUCCGGGAAACGCCGUGGGAGGGAGGGAGCCAACGGGCUGCUGCCCGCUCGGUUCAUCUUGGUUGUUGUUGGCAUCACUGUCCACGCCCACCGUGGCUCCUUGAAGUGGAUGCCUCCUGCCCUGUACCACGUGGGGCACUGGGAUCUCGGGGCUGGCUGAAACUCCUAGUUCGUAGGAUCCCACGUUUCCCGGGACAUCAGGUAGCCACCUGCUCCCAGGACUGGCUACUUCCAUGGAGCAGGGCCACGCAUGGACCAGGCCUUCCUCUCUCCCAUCGCAGGCCAAGGGACUUCUCCAUCUCCUGCCAUCAACUUCUCCAAGACCCUCUGCUGCUCCCCUCAAGCUCUUCUUAUUCCACUGAGAGAAUAAGCGGAAUAAGAACAUUAAACUCUGAGCCCAUUUCCAAUAAAACUGGUUUCCUUUUCCUUGAGUGCA